ACCAAUAAAUGUUCGUUAAAUUGAAGAACAAAUGUAUGAAAAGUCAGGCUUUAAGGUUUAUUUUCAUCUUUUAAUUUCCUCCUUUUAAUGAUUUCCCACACCCUGUAACAAACUGAAGUCUGUAGUACAUUAAAUUUGAAUGCGGUUAUGCACUUCCCUUACAGAAUGAGCAAUUAAUAUAUUCAUGAUUAAAAAUUUGUGGCAAAAGAUCUCAGAAAUUGGUGCCAGAGAUAAUCUACUGCCUCAUACAUAGACAUUUCAGGUAGAGUUGGUUUGUUGGACAUUUCCUCUUAUUCCUAAGCACACAGCUAGUUUACAUUUCCUGGUUUCUCUCACUGGAAGACAUGGCAUGUGACGGGAUUCUAGUCAAUGGAAUGGAAGUUGAGGUGAUGUGCACCACUCUAAGCCAUAAAAUCAAUCUCACAUCCAUCUUUAUUUUGCCCCAUCUACAGGCUCAUAGCAGAUGAAAAGAGUGAAUGUGGAAACCACACUAUAAAGAUGGUGGAGCCCAAGAUUUAAGGAUUCUGGGUCUCUGAAUCAUCACUUACAGAAAAAUUACUCUGAGAUCAAGAACAGCUGCUUUAAACUUUAUAUGGAGGAGAGCAAUGUGAUGUUGAACUGCGUCAGGGGCUCCAGAACUUCUGGUACAGUUAUACUUCCGAAGAAUUUGGCCCCAAACCAAUUUUUCUCAGAUUUCCAGGUAACUUACUCUGCAUGGGGUCCUGAACUUGCUGUGAAUUAACCCUUCACUCACUGCCUGCCGCAUUUUGGUGAUCACAUUUUGUUCUCUGCCACUUCCUGCUUGAGAGUAUGAUCUACAGCCAGCUAGACCAUAUCUGGAUGAAGCUUGAGAUAUAACCACAGGUUCAGAACACCCUGUUAUAAAGGAGCUGAACAUCCUUGGAGCAACACAUGACAUCUAGAACUCUACAUGGUCCAAGGUCUGUCUCACAAGGAGGACUGUGUAAUUAAAGCUAACUACAAACUAAGCUGAUUCUACUGUCAGAUUUGGUCCAAACCUACUUUUCUUUUAACAACCUGGUAACCAAGUGCCAUACAAGAUACACUGAACUCAAAUCUACAGAGACUAUCAAUCCUUGAACAGCAAGUUCAGAGCAGUUGAAUAUGACAAUAGCUUUAAUGCUAUCAAUGAGAACAAGAAUAUUUGGCUUAUCUUCAACAUCUUCAUACCAUCAGAUAACUCCAAAGUUAACACAGGUAACUCUACUUCUCCUCUUAAACCUAACUGAAUCAUCCAUUGGACGUUUGUACAUUUAACCAAUAUCAACUGUAUAUUCCAUAAGACCAACACUCUACCAAACUGAAAGACCCAAAAGUAAACACAUUAAUUCCUAUGUACCCCUUCUCUAUCUCACACCUAAUAUUCUGUUAAUAUACUUUUUCUUAUUGUUCAUAAAAUAUCUGUUAAAGAAGUGUUAAUUGUCUGUCUAAUAAUCAUUUAUCCUUCUUGUUUAGUAAGCCAAUUCCAAAUAGUCCAUUUAGAGUGGCAAAAUAUUCAGAAAAAAUUAAAUAUUUCCCAGCCAACAUUGCUGCUAGGUGUGACCAUGUUGCUAAGUUCUGGCAAACAGGUUAGGUGGGAAUUCAGUGAACCUUAGGAAAAAGAGAGAAAAGACUGGGCUUUUUUACUUCUGGCUCCCUGCCUUGUAUAUGGAAAUAAAAGUUGAGCUGCAGCAACUAUCUUGGACAAUAAAAAUUGUCCAAGAAAAAAACAUAUGGUGGAGCUAAGUGAUCGAAGGAGCUUUUGUCUCUGUUGACAUUGUGUUGCUAUUAUCUAGGUCUAGAAUACUUACCUUUAUACUUGGAUCAUCAGAGAGAGAAAUCAACUACUACUUAUUUUCGCCACUGUUAUUUCUGGUGUCUGUUACUAGCAAUAGAAGAGAAUUCCUCACAUAAGCCAAGUCCUCAAGAGUUUAGACUCUCUCUCUCCUAUAUAACCAACCCCCAUAGCCAAUUAAUCUCUAAGUCUUGUCAGUUUAAUUUCUUAAAUUGAUUUCAAGUUUUAUCUUUUCUCUCCACCCCCAUUUUCAUUACUUUAGUUCAAACACUCAUCACCUGUCACCAUACCAUUACAGUGGAUCUAAUUCUGCUCCCAUCUUGCUUCCCUAGGAUACGUCAUCCACAUUGCUGCCAGAGCAUUCUCUCUGAAAUGAUUAUCUGAUCAUCAUCCUCUCUUCUUCUCCACAAGCUCAAACACUUUCAGUGACUGAUUUGAAACCAGGUAUAUUUUUUAGCGUGGCAAAAAUAUGAAUCUUGGGUAUUAGCCUUCUAUCUGGCCUUAUGAUAUAGAAAUAUCAAAACACUGGUAAGUAUCUAAAUACACCUUCUAUGCCUUGUCAAUGCCUCUUAUUUUCUGGAGUGCCUCAUUUCAGAUUGUUGGCUGUAAAACUCUUAAUCACCAUAAGACUCUUAAGUUUCUCUUUGAAGAUUUUAUGACUCUCUGACUUUUGAAACAAUCUUCACUCUGUAACAUUCAUUAUAUGCAAUUCUUUGUUGUAUAUUAUACUGUAAUAUUAUUAUUUAUAUGCAUCUCUAUUUCCUUUACAAGACUAUAGGCAAUCUGAAGUUAGACAGAAUAUAUUAUUCAUUUUUAUACCUCAAAUUCCUGUCUCGGUGCCUGAGGAAUAUACAGGGCACUUGGGAAGUAUUUGAGGAAUUUGGAUUGUAGCGUGGCUUCUCUCUGGGAUACUGUUAGUCAACCAACCCUUGAGGGAUGGUGACAUCAUGGAUCAUUCUAAUUAAAGCCAAAAUCAUUCAGGAUUAUAAUCAUCUAUGUUAAAUGACCUUUUGAAAUUACCUUCUGCUAAGAGCUACUGCCAUGGUUGGGCUGAUCAGAGAGGGCAAUGGUCUUGGAAGAUUCAAAGAUAAGCAAAACAAAUGGUGGUAGAAUAAUGUAAAGACGAUUUUGGUCAUGUGAGUUAUAGCCAGCAACAUCAACUCACCUUUGCAAGAAAAUAAAACAACAUGAUAAUAAAUUAAUAUUUUGCUAAAAUUCUUUUUUAUCAAGUUUUAUUACACAGAAUUUAUAUUCAGUCCUGUAUUUAUAAACUUCAUUUCCAUAUGCUUCAGUUGUGGUUAUCAUUUAAUUCAGACCCAGGCAAUAGAUUUUUAGUUCUAUUUUUUAAAGUUCAGCAAAUAUAGCUUCUCAGUACUUAAUAUGACUACAUGUCUUGGAUGUUUAGAAAAUAUUUCAAAUAGGCUUUUCUACUGUUUUGAAAUAUUUACAGCCUCCUUUCCAGAUACAUUUAUGAUUUUAAGAGAAACAGUUAGUUUAACUACAUUGGAUAAAAUUUUUUUGGCAUUCAUCUUCAGUAUGUAGUGGCUAGUAGAGAAUCAAUCAUUUUCUCCUAAUACGUUACCCAUUAGAAUUGAGUAUUUUAUUUCCCUCAUCCUAAUCUACGAUAAUCACUACCAGAUGAGCCCAAUUUUAAGAACAGCCCAUUAUUUCCAUAGUACUAUUUGUAUCCUCUAUGUAUGCUAAAUAAGGAGGCCAAAAAUCUCAGUUUGGAAGCUUAUUCAACAAAUGAACUUGAUGGCUGGUCUAUUUAUUACUCUGCUUUUGCAGAUAUAGUGCUAUGACUAAACUCAGAUGCAGGUAAACUACAACACUAUGUUUUUCAGCUUCAGGGACUCCAGCCUAUUCAAAUACAUUUUUAUAAAUAAAAUAGAUUUUUAAAAAGUCUUUAGAGAUAUAUCUUUUAAAAUUUGUGAUAGAAUUUCUUUCCUAUCUGACUUACUGUUGACCUCAUUAAAAUUACUGGUACAGAAAAGCAAUUCCAGUCCUAGUUCCAAAAGAAAAUAACAUGUAAAGACACAGGAGUGAGUGAGAGGAUUAAAAGAUAUUUUGAAACUCCUUUUUAAACCAUAUGCCAUUGCAUUUUCCCUUGCUGAAUUUUAGGUAACUUCCCAAAGAUUACAGAACAAGCAUUGGAGACAGGUCUCAUUCCUGGGUUGGCUGGCUCUGAAGCUGUACAUUAAACAUAUUUUCCUGCAUUGUCUCCCGUGGAUAUUAGAUUAAUAUUUGACAAAGCAUGUUCAAUUAGACUCAAAACAAUUCAACAAAAUUUGAGAACCUACCAUGAUCCAGUUCCAAGACGCCUGACACUGUAGAGCUCACAUUCUGGUAGGGGGAAACAAUGAACAAUAAACAUAAUAAAUAAGUUAUCCAUUGUAUUGGAAGAUUAUAUACGCUAUGGGAGAAAAAUUGCAGAUAUAGAGGAUGUUGGAAUAUUUGUGAAUUGAUUAUUUUUGAAUUGUUUUAGAUUUGUUAGCUUGUACCCCCCAUGGGAAACAACUUUAUAACCUAGAAUACGGUGAUUUUAUCUGGCUUAUAUUGAUAAUACAGAGUGAAAUCUUACAGUCUUCACUCAUUUCCAAAGUUACUUAGGUAACUUUGCAAUCCAAAGUAGUUACCUAAAGUUUGCUGUUUUGUGUAUAUGUGUGUUUACUUUUAUUGUAUAUUUGUUUUUCUAAACUCUUCGGCACAAUUUUCUGGGGGCAUUCAGACUGCCACAAUAUAAGUCGGGAGAGGACGUUUUCUUUGUACUGCCAAUUCUGAUCAUUUAAAUUUUGGUUUGUUUGGGUUGUGACUUUUUUGAAGUCUGAGUUCUUUAUUUGUAACAAUUAUACUUUUAUUUUUCUAUGUCCUCUAAUGCCAGUUUUUUCUCCCCCCUCCCCCCAACCACGUCUACAUUCACAGUUGUACCGUAUUAUUAGGAAAGGCGCCUUGAUGAAAAGAUCAGGAUAGGAGCUCUGACCAUUCGACAGUGUUUUCCCUAAAGUAAUAAAAA
rnacentral:lncRNA from 1 species